UACGAAGGGGGCUAGCGUUGCUCGGAAUCACUGGGCGUAAAGGGUGCGUAGGCGGGUCUUUAAGUCAGGGGUGAAAUCCUGGAGCUCAACUCCAGAACUGCCUUUGAUACUGAGGAUCUUGAGUUCGGGAGAGGUGAGUGGAACUGCGAGUGUAGAGGUGAAAUUCGUAGAUAUUGGGAAGAACACCGAUGGCGAAGGCAGCCAUCUGGACCGACACUGACGCUGAGGCGCGAAAGCCAGGGGAGCAAACGGG
rnacentral:rRNA from 1 species